rnacentral:rRNA from 1 species
GAUGAACGCUGGCGGCGUGCCUAAUACAUGCCAGUCGAGCGAACAGACGAGGAGCUUGCUCCUCUGACGUUAGCGGCGGACGGGUGAGUAACACGUGGAUAACCUACCUAUAAGACUGGGAUAACUUCGGGAAACCGGAGCUAAUACCGGAUAAUAUAUUGAACCGCAUGGUUCAAUAGUGAAAGACGGUUUUGCUGUCACUUAUAGAUGGAUCCGCGCCGCAUUAGCUAGUUGGUAAGGUAACGGCUUACCAAGGCAACGAUGCGUAGCCGACCUGAGAGGGUGAUCAGCCACACUGGAACUGAGACACGGUCCAGACUCCUACGGGAGGCAGCAGUAGGGAAUCUUCCGCAAUGGGCGAAAGCUUGACGGAGCAACACCGCGUGAGUGAUGAAGGUCUUCGGAUCGUAAAACUCUGUUAUUAGGGAAGAACAAAUGUGUAAGAAACUAUGCACGUCUUGACGGUACCUAAUCAGAAAGCCACGGCUAACUACGUG